rnacentral:rRNA from 1 species
AUUGAACGCUGGCGGCAGGCCUAACACAUGCAAGUCGAGCGGAUGAAGGGAGCUUGCUCCUGGAUUCAGCGGCGGACGGGUGAGUAAUGCCUAGGAAUCUGCCUGGUAGUGGGGGAUAACGUCCGGAAACGGGCGCUCAUACCGCAUACGUCCUGAGGGAGAAAGUGGGGGAUCUUCGGACCUCACGCUAUCAGAUGAGCCUAGGUCGGAUUAGCUAGUUGGUGGGGCAAAGGCCUACCAAGGCGACGAUCCGUAACUGGUCUGAGAGGAUGAUCAGUCACACUGGAACUGAGACACGGUCCAGACUCCUACGGGAGGCAGCAGUGGGGAAUAUUGGACAAAGGGCGAAAGCCUGAUCCAGCCAUGCCGCGUGUGUGAAGAAGGUCUUCGGAUUGUAAAGCACUUUAAGUUGGGAGGAAGGGCAGUAAGUUAAUACCUUGCUGUUUUGACGUUACCAACAGAAUAAGCACCGGCUAACUUCGUG